UGCUCCGCUUCGACUUGCUCACUUGCAGCUUGGUCACCGGCCGUAGGACCCUGAUCUCCAGCAGGUUGGAGGUCCUGUCUGCCAGCCGAGUCCAGCUGCUGUUGUAGUUCUUCCUCCAGAGCUCGGCCACACACUGGUACUUGCCGGCCUCUGUGUCGCUUGCCCGGCUGAUGCUGAGGCGCACAUUGUUGCUAGACUCAGCCUUCUCGAUGGCAGUACG
rnacentral:lncRNA from 1 species